rnacentral:lncRNA from 1 species
GCAGGGCUAGAAAAUAUGAAAUUAGUAGGUAUAUUUUAAGAUCUAAAAGUAUAAAAAAAUGGGAUUGUGGGCAGUACCAAGAUGCGAACAUUCUACUUUGCAAGCUUUCUAACAGUUCUAGGUUUAGUUUGAAUGUCUAAAAGUUGAUAUCUUUUAGCAUGAAGCUUGUAGCAUAAGCAUCUACAGAGAGGUUCCAGCAAUUGAUCAAUGUCUGAUAUAAGAUUCCUAGAAUUCCAUUGUUCUCCACAAUAAUAAUAUGGGUUGAUGAGAAUUGUAAGCAGA